UGAGACACGGCCCAGACUCCUACGGGAGGCAGCAGUGGGGAAUAUUGCACAAUGGGCGAAAGCCUGAUGCAGCGACGCCACGUGAGGGAUGACGGCCUUCGGGUUGUAAACCUCUUUCAGCAGGGAAGAAGCGAAAGUGACGGUACCUGCAGAAGAAGCGCCGGCUAACUACGUGCCAGCAGCCGCGGUAAUACGUAGGGCGCAAGCGUUGUCCGGAAUUAUUGGGCGUAAAGAGCUCGUAGGCGGUCUGUCGCGUCUGGUGUGAAAUCCCAUGGCUCAACUGUGGGCUUGCAUCGGGUACGGGCAGACUAGAGUGCUGUAGGGGAGACUGGAAUUCCUGGUGUAGCGGUGGAAUGCGCAGAUAUCAGGAGGAACACCGAUGGCGAAGGCAGGUCUCUGGGCAGUUACUGACGCUGAGGAGCGAAAGCAUGGGGAGCGAACAGGAUUAGAUACCCUGGUAGUCCAUGCCGUAAACGUUGGGCACUAGGUGUGGGGCCAGUUCCACUGGUUCUGUGCCGCAGCUAACGCAUUAAGUGCCCCGCCUGGGGAGUACGGCCGCAAGGCUAAAACUCAAAGGAAUUGACGGGGGCCCGCACAAGCGGCGGAGCAUGCGGAUUAAUUCGAUGCAACGCGAAGAACCUUACCAAGGCUUGACAUGUACGAGAAAGCCCCAGAGAUGGGGUUCUCUUUGGACACUCGUACACAGGUGGUGCAUGGUUGUCGUCAGCUCGUGUCGUGAGAUGUUGGGUUAAGUCCCGCAACGAGCGCAACCCUUAUCCUAUGUUGCCAGCGGGUUAUGCCGGGGACUCAUGGGAGACUGCCGGGGUCAACUCGGAGGAAGGUGGGGAUGACGUCAAAUCAUCAUGCCCCUUAUGUCUUGGGCUUCACGCAUGCUACAAUGGCCGGUACAGAGGGCUGCGAUACCGUGAGGUGGAGCGAAUCCCAAAAAGCCGGUCUCAGUUCGGAUCGGGGUCUGCAACUCGACCCCGUGAAGUCGGAGUCGCUAGUAAUCGCAGAUCAGCAACGCUGCGGUGAAUACGUUCCCGGGCCUUGUACACACCGCCCGUCAAGUCACGAAAGU
rnacentral:rRNA from 1 species